rnacentral:rRNA from 1 species
ACUCAAAUGAAUAGACGGGGACCCACACAAGCGGUGGAGCAUGGGGUUUAAUUCGAUGGUAAACGAAGAACCUCACCCAGGCUUGACAUCCUAGAAAGAUAGUCGAAAGAUUGUCGUGCCGCAAGGAAUCUAGAGACAGGCGAUGCACGGUCGUCGUCAGCUCGUGCCUUGAGGUGUACUGUUAAGUCAGCGAACGAGCGCAACCCUCAUCCUAUGUUGUUUUUUCAUGGGAGACUGCCGCCUCCAAGGCGGAGGAAGGUGGGGAUGACGUCAGAUCAGCGUGUCCUUUAUGCCUGGGGCAACACCCAUGCUACAAUGGUCGGUACAGAGGGCAGCGAACCCGUCAGGGGGAGCAAAUCCCACAAAACCGAUCUCAGUUCGGAUUGCCGGCUGCAACUCGCCGGCAUGAAGUUGGAAUCGCUAGUAACCGUAGGUCAGCGAUACUACGGUGAAUACGUUCCUGGGUCUUGUACACACCGCCCGU